UACGUAGGGGGCGAGCGUUGUCCGGAUUUAUUGGGCGUAAAGAGCUCGUAGGUGGUUUGUCGCGUUGUUCGUGAAAUCUCACGGCUUAACUGUGAGCGUGCGGGCGAUACGGGCAGACUAGAGUACUGCAGGGGAGACUGGAAUUCCUGGUGUAGCGGUGGAAUGCGCAGAUAUCAGGAGGAACACCGGUGGCGAAGGCGGGUCUCUGGGCAGUAACUGACGCUGAGGAGCGAAAGCGUGGGGAGCGAACAGG
rnacentral:rRNA from 1 species